rnacentral:lncRNA from 1 species
AAAAGUUGAAGAUAAGUUUGUUCAACGAACAAAGCGUAGGGAUCACAAUGGAGGAUAAAAUAUGUUAGGACCUUGAAAGAGACUAAAGAGGUAUAUCGAUUUUAAGUGUUUUUUAUUUUAUACUAUAUUAGUUAAUAUUUUAAAUUUAAAGAAUACAUUGAUAUUUGAAAGAUGAAAUAUAUUUAACAUUGAAAAAAUUUCAUUAAAACAUGGUCUUCGAGAGAGAAUUUAAUGCAUUUAUCUUCACAAUUGAAUAUUUUACUAAUUAAUAAUAAAUAUGAUAGUAAAUAUUAAUUUUAAUAUAUUAUUAAUUAACAAGGAUCCAUUUGACAUACAAUUAAAAUAAUAAAUAUGAUUUAAAUAAAUAAUUUAAAUUAUAUAAAUAAAAAUAAUUUAAAAUUUUAUGCAGUGUCUUAUUAAUGCUAAUAUCCCAUAUAUUAGUUUAAAACACUAGGCCCUAUUAAUACCUCUAUCUAAUAUAUUAGCCUAUUAACGCAUACUCAAGAAGCAUUAAUCUUAGUAUAAAUAAAAGAGUGAUAAGAAUUUAUAUAUAUUGCUCAAUAUUUAAUUUUAAGAAUAAGAGAGGGGAGAGAGAUUUAACGAAAAGGGAUUGCAAGAGAUCAGGAAAUAGUAUAUGAGGGAGAGAAGGGGUGAGGGGUGAGAGGUGAGAUUAACCCGUAUUUCUUUCUUUAACUCACAUGUUUUCCAUUAAAAAUAGAUUUGGGAAAUAGUAACUUGAGUGAAACAGAUAAAUUUUAUAAAUAAAAAUAUGUAUGUUUUUUUUUGGGUUGGGGGAUUUUUGUUGCGCAUAGAAAAUAAUGACCUAGAAUGUGAGAGAGAUGUGCACUUUCAAUAAGUCGUGUUUUUUCUAUUGCAUUAAGUUAAGAAGUAUAAAAUUUGUUUAAAAAGUAAGAAAGAAAGAAAUAAUUCAGAUAUAUUAUUUGUCAUAAAAAAAGACUACAUGUGACUAAAAGACUUUCAACAUUAUUUUAAAUAAAAGAAUCAAGAGGGACAAUGCAAAUGAAAAAUAGUACGAAAAGUUACCACAUAUCAUUUAUGAAUAGGUUUUAAUAAUUCAAAAUUUAUAAUGAAAAAAUAAAAGAUAUUAAAGUAUGUGAAAAAAAAAAAGAAUCAAAUUUUAUAUAUCUUGAAUCAUAUUAAAAAAAGAAAAAAUUUUAUAUAGAGCCGAGGUUCUAAACAAUCAAAUUAGAGCCCACCUAAAACAAUUUCACUAGAAGAGGUUGUUUUGAUGCCUAAAUAUCCUCAAAUUGAUUAUCUCGAUAUCAAGAAGCAUGAACAUAAGAAAAAAAUGGAUUUGAAGUUUUGGAAAUAGUGCAUCUUGUAUCACAUUUUUGGACCGUCAAUUUUCAAUAUUUUCAAUUUUUUUUAGAUUGCUCGAUCUACACUAUUUUUGAAGCGUUAAAUUUUAUAUGAAAAGACUAAUAAUAAUAAUAAUAAUAAUAAUAAUAAUAAUAAUAACAACAACAACAAUAAUUAUUAUUUUAUUGAAUUAUUUUAUUACUAUUUAUUUUAAUUUCAUAUAACUUAUUUAUUUAUGUUAUUCUUUCUUUUAGUCUUCUCUUGCUAUUUUUCAAAUGGAUUAUGUUUUUUUGGUCUCUCUAGUGGAAAAUAAUGUAUUUAUUUUAUUUUAUAAGUUACUUUUAUCUUAUUAGGUAAGGUGCAUUGAUCAUGAAUGCUAAAGAAAAAUGGUUAUUUUUUCUUCUUGAUUCUUAUAUUAAAUGAUUCUUUUAUAUGUAUUUUAAAUAUAAUUCUUAUAUUUUAAAUUUUUACAACUAUUUGAACAUUAAAUUGCUUUUGUAACUAUAAUAUUAUAUUUUUAGCAAAAAUAUGUAAUGAAGUAUGUAUAAGAGUUAAAUUUUUUUUUGGGAGAUACUUGAGUAAUUUUUUUAAAAUUAUGAAUUUUGAUCCCGUCUUCUUUAGCUUUCUCCCACAUUUUUUCAUUUCCCUAUAUCAAUCUUGAUUUUACUAUUUAAAAUAGCAUUUAAAAUUUUUUGGUCUCCCUAUAAUCGUGUUUGUCAUAAUAAUAUAUUUGAAUUAUUUAUUUCUUGCAUGGUUUUUAAAAAAUCAUAAUUAUUUCAUAACGUUAUUCAAUUGUGAGGAUAAAUUCAAUGAUCUUUAAGACCUUGUUUUAUUAAAAAUAUUUUUCAAUGAUAAAUACGUUUUAGGGUCAGUUUAGAUGUCAAAUAAAGAAACCUUGAAAAAAAUUGUAAGUUUUUUUAUCCUUAAUUCAGAAAUAUAAUCAUCUUUUUUUAUUAGUCAGCUUGACUGUUUGGAUAGCAAGUGAAAAUACUAAAAAAACAGAUUUUGUAUUCUAUCGUUCCAAAAUUAUCUUGUCAUUCCAAAAGGUUUUUCUAUAUCCCUCCCAUUAAUAACUUUGUCUCUCUAAAAGCUAAACACCUCAAAAUAUCCUGCAAAAACUCCCACCUAAAAACCCAAAAUAUCACCAGAACCAUGAAACCCAAAGACACCCACUUGAAAGUAAAGACCAUAACCCCUAAAAUCUCCUUUAAAAUAAAUAGUGGUUUUAAGUUUUCUAUUGGAGCAACACCAUUAAGUUCAGCCUUUUUUUUCUAGAGAUAUGACACUAAGGGGUCAAAUUUACAAAAAUAAAAAAAGCCUUCGAUUUGUAAAGAUAUUUACAGUACAAAACUUGAAAGAGGGUUUUGUGAGAAUUUGGGGUUAGAUAGAUGUCACUAAAGGGUCAAAUUUACAAAGAUAAAAAAAAAAAAAAAAAAUAGCCUUGAUUUGCAAAGAUAUUUACAGAAAAAAGGGAAGUAUAAAACUUAAAAGAAGGCUUUUAUCAGAAUUUGGAGUUUGUGUUAUUGAUCGCACAAGUAUUAGCUGCACCUCUCUAACUGUCAAUAUCUUGCAAUCUAGAUGAAGCCAUUACAGAGUCUUCGUUCUUAUGAUGCGUGGUGUCACUAAACCACCAGCAACACUAAAGGAGCGUCUUCUUAGAUAGAGAGAUGAAGCCAUUACAGAGUCUUCGUUCUUAUGAGCGUCUUCUUAGAUAGAGAGAUGAAGCCAUUACAGAGUCUUCGUUCUUAUGAUGCGUGGUGCCACUAAACCACUAGCAACAGUAAAGGAGCGUCUUCUUAGAUGGAGAGAUAUUUGAUAUUUGGAUAACAAGUUACACGUGCAACAUACUAGUCUCUUUUCCAAUCAACUAGAUACUAUGUUUGAUUGUAGUAGUGUUAUAUCACCAAUCAUUCAAUAAAAAAUAUGGGAUA